AGAGUUUGAUCCUGGCUCAGGAUGAACGCUGGCGGCGUGCCUAACACAUGCAAGUCGAGCGGAGUUUAUUGAGGUGCUUGCACCAUGAUAAACUUAGCGGCGGACGGGUGAGUAACACGUGGAUAAUCUGCCUACUACUGCGGGAUAACUAUGAGAAAUCAUAGCUAAUACCGCAUAAGCUCACAACAUGGCAUCAUGAA
rnacentral:rRNA from 1 species